AUAAUCUGAGAUAGCACGGGUAACAUAAUAUUCUGCUGCUAGAAGAACGGUAAUGACGCCUCGAAUGGCGAUCACUAACGAUAACCGAUUUUUUUUAUCAAGGGAAAAGACAAGACAAUCGUGUAGCCUGCCAAGUCCUGAACCUCAGGCAUAAUGCGUUUCGAUUGUUACGGGAGGCAAACCGAAGACCUGUUAAUCUAGAGGCCGCGUCUUUCACCACUACACGCUAUUUACUCAGUCAGGCAAUGGGCAGUUUGAGCGCUUCACAUGGACCCUCCAGGAUUUGUUGCACAUGUUGCCCCCAGGAACAAAAGAGACGUUGGCCCUGUCAUCUCCACCAGAUAACAUGCAUUUAACACCACAGUUCAUCAGUCUGCAGACACAAUACCAAUGAAAGCAGGCAAAGAAUGUCCAUUUCCAAACCUGAAGAUCACGAAGAGACAUAACUAAAG